rnacentral:rRNA from 1 species
AUUGAACGCUGGCGGCAUGCUUUACACAUGCAAGUCGAACGGUAACAGGUUAAGCUGACGAGUGGCGAACGGGUGAGUAAUGCAUCGGAACGUGCCCGGUCGUGGGGGAUAACACUUCGAAAGAAGUGCUAAUACCGCAUACGAUCUGAGGAUGAAAGCGGGGGACCGUAAGGCCUCGCGCGAUCGGAGCGGCCGAUGGCAGAUUAGGUAGUUGGUGGGGUAAAGGCCUACCAAGCCGACGAUCUGUAGCUGGACUGAGAGGACGACCAGCCACACGGGGACUUAGACACGGCCCAGACGCCUACGGGAGGUAGCAGUGGGGAAUUUUGGACAAUGGGCGCAAUCCUGAUCCAGCAAUGCCGCGUGCAGGAAGAAGGCCUUCGGGUUAUAAACGGCUUUUGUCCGGAGCGAAAAGGCUCUCUCUAAUACAGGGGGCUGAUGACGGUACCGUAAGAAUAAGCACCGGCUAACUACGUGCCAGCCGCCGCGGUAA